rnacentral:rRNA from 1 species
UACGAAGGGGGCGAGCGUUGUUCGGAAUUACUGGGCGUAAAGGGCGCGCAGGCGGCUCUGAAAGUCAGAUGUGAAAGCCCCGGGCUUAACCUGGGAAUUGCAUUUGAUACUCUGGAGCUUGAGUACGGGAGAGGAGAGUGGAAUUCCCAGUGUAGAGGUGAAAUUCGUAGAUAUUCGGAAGAACACCAGUGGCGAAGGCGGCUCACUGGCCCGAUACUGACGCUGAGGCACGAAAGCGUGGGGAGCAAACAGG